AAUAUUUAAUUUGCGUUGAAAAGCUAAAUCAAACGAUUUCCGUACGGAACUAACUUAAUUAAAUUAGUUUCGCACAAAAUGUGUCGGACAUUUUGAAUAUUUCAUUAUGAUUAAAAAUUAGAAUUUCUUAUGAAUCUUAAAUUAUGUAAUAAAUGGUUUAGAAAAGAUAAAAGAAAAUUUGUUUUUAGUAUUAUAUUGUGGCUAAUAAAGCGCUAAAAAGUCCCAUUUUAUAUACAGUCCAGUCAGUUGCAACAACAAUUAAAGCAGCAGGAAACAACCAAGUACACAUGCAAGUGACAAAGAGGAUUGCAAAAGUUUUAAAUAUCAGAAACUGAAGAAGGAAUUGAUAAUUAGCAGAUAACAAAAAAGCGCAAAAGUACUGAUUAUACAACUCUUUUAAAGUUGAGGAAGAAUUUUAUGUGGAAUGUUAAUGCAAAAGGUACGAAUAUUGUCAGUUAAACCAUCACCACCUCCACAGCCACCUUAUCUUAAGCAUUCAAUUGCAUUCUAAGUUAUCUUUAUUCAAAUCAAGUGUGACUACUAUACCAAAAGACUGUAGAAUGGACCAAUCAACUAACCCAUCAGUACUUGCAAAGUCUUCUUUUCUGUAAGCCCGAAAUUUGAGUUCUAAAAUACCAUUAUCCACAUAACUACUAUAUCAAAGCACAAACUAAUGGAUUGAUCAAAGUUUUAAAGAAAAGUUCUCUAUCAAUUAUUACAAUAGUUAUUCAAGAGAUUGUAUGACUUCGGUAUCCGCAAUACGGUAUCGUGCAUUGAUUCCCAUCUUAGAAUGGCUCACUUCCGUAUAGGUGGAAAUAGGAAAGGUUAUGUCCUUUUUUCCAAUUCUUAAAACGAAGAGGCUUAAUCGGUUCAAACAAAGAUGACAAUGAUGAUUAUGGAGCCGAUCAUAAUGAGGAAUACGAUAAUGCAUAUAAUAAUAAAUAAAAUGAUUUUACUUGUAUAUUAAACUUAUUUAAAUAAAAAAUUAUUUGUUUAA